AGUGAGGAAGGUGGAUAUGUUAAUAGCAUAUUCAUUUGACGUUAGCUGCAGAAGAAGCACCGGCUAACUCCGUGCCAGCAGCCGCGGUAAUACGGAGGGUGCGAGCGUUAAUCGGAAUUACUGGGCGUAAAGCGCAUGCAGGUGGUUUGUUAAGUCAGAUGUGAAAGCCCGGGGCUCAACCUCGGAAUUGCAUUUGAAACUGGCAAACUAGAGUACUGUAGAGGGGGUAGAAUUUCAGGUGUAGCGGUGAAAUGCGUAGAGAUCUGAAGGAAUACCGGUGGCGAAGGCGGCCCCCUGGACAGAUACUGACACUCAGAUGCGAAAGCGUGGGGAGCAAACAGGAUUAGAUACCCUGGUAG
rnacentral:rRNA from 1 species